rnacentral:pre_miRNA from 1 species
AGUGUUUCUUUGGCAGUGUCUUAGCUGGUUGUUGUGAUCAAUGGGUGAAGGAAGCAAUCAGCAAGUACACUGCCCCUAGAAGUGCUGCACGUUGGGGGGCCC